UAGGCUAUGUUUAUUUAAAUAAAUACUUGCAAUAGUCUAUAGGGUAAAA
rnacentral:rRNA from 1 species